rnacentral:rRNA from 1 species
GAUGAACGCUGGCGGCGUGCCUAAUACAUGCAAGUCGAGCGAACAGACGAGGAGCUUGCUCCUCUGACGUUAGCGGCGGACGGGUGAGUAACACGUGGAUAACCUACCUACAAGACUGGGAUAACUUCGGGAAACCGGAGCUAAUACCGGAUAAUAUAUUGAACCGCAUGGUUCAAUAGUGAAAGACGGUUUUGCUGUCACUUAUAGAUGGAUCCGCGCCGCAUUAGCUAGUUGGUAAGGUAACGGCUUACCAAGGCGACGAUGCGUAGCCGACCUGAGAGGGUGAUCGGCCACACUGGAACUGAGACACGGUCCAGACUCCUACGGGAGGCAGCAGUAGGGAAUCUUCCGCAAUGGGCGAAAGCCUGACGAAGCAACGCCGCGUGAGUGAUGAAGGUCUUCGGAUCGUAAAACUCUGUUAUUAGGGAAGAACAAAUGUGUAAGUAACUAUGCACGUCUUGACGGUACCUAAUCAGAAAGCCACGGCUAACUACGUG